GCCGGUGUAGCUGAGUGGUUUAGCUUGGUCAUCGUAAGUCCACGACGGGGGUUCGAUUCCCUCCACCGGCU
rnacentral:tRNA from 1 species